UAUUCCUGUGUGUGGAGGCCAGAAAUAGGUGUCAAGUAUUCCCUUUGACUGUGCUCUGCUGUGUUUUAUGAGACAGUGCCUUCUUGAGCCCAGCUUGCUGAUUUGGCUAAGGCGCCUGGCCACGGUAACCUGAGAUCCUGCUGGCUCUGGCUCUGGCUCUGGCUCUGGCUCUGCAGCACUGGGGUUACAGCUGUGCCUUGCUAACCUAACCUAGCUUUUGUGUGGAUGCUGGAGAGCUGAGCUCAAGUUCUCAUGCACGUGUGGCAAGUACUGUGCUUAGUGAGCCAUUUUCCCCAGCCCUUUAACGUCAAGCUUAGGGGGCUGCUGAGAUGACUUAGCAAGUAAAUGGGCUCGCUAAACAAACGUGAAGAGAUGAUGUCACACUCUAGAACUCACGUAAGACUGGGAGGAAAGACAUGAUUCCACAGCACGAGCCUCUGACCACCAGAGACAUGCUGUGGGCUAUGUGGUGUGUAGCUUAAAGGUGUUUCAAGAAAUUAUGACAAUUGUCAUUUUGAAAGUGAAGAGUUGCCGGAUAUGAUGGCACACACCUUUAAUGCCAGCAUUUGGAAGGCAGAGACAUGCUGUGGUGUAUGAGCCCCCCCCCCCAAAAAAAAAUCCAAACAAACCCUGCCUUAGAAAAGCAAGAUCAGGGCGGUGGGAUGGCUUAGCAAGCAGAGACACGCACUGGCAAGCCUGAUGACCUAAACUUAGUCCCCUGACCCAGAGUGGCAGGAAAGAAGCAACCUCUGUAAGGUGCCCCUUGACCUGCCCCCCUACACACAUGGGGUGGGGGGAGCAUGCGUAGGUGUAGUAGGCUUCCCCCAUCCAUAAAUAAAUAAAGAUAUGAAGAUGAUUUUUAAAAGGAAGAAAUAGAACCCAAACCAGGCUAACAAAAUAUUUUUAGCAUCCCUUUCUCAGAAAAGCUGUCUUUGGCCACUGUCUAGCAUACAUAACAAAGUGCCAUGCCUCUUGGCUCUUUCCAGCAUUGUGUUCCUUGUACACCUGAGUGCUUGUGUGCCCUGUUUAGUCUGCCUUCCCUGAUGGAGUGGAAACUCUAGGUCUGGCUCAGGAGUUAGUGUUUGUUGUGUUCACUCGUGUGCCUGCCAUGCCUGGCAUUAGCUCAAAGAUGGGGUGAACUAGUGAAUGAGCCCCAAAGAGAAAAUGACCAGAACAGCACAGGCUUGUGUAACUUAAAGGUGUUUCAAGAAAUUAUGACAAUUGUCAUUUUAAAAGUGAAGAGUUGCUGGGUGUGAUGGCACACACCUUUAACACCAGCACUUGGAAGGCAGUGGUGGCUAGCUCUGUGAAUUCAAGGCCAGUCAGGUCUGUGUAGUGAGUUCCAGGGCAACCCUGUCUCAAAUAAGUAUAAAAUAAAGAAAAAAAGCUAUGGGGCUGGCAAGAUGGCUCAGCUGAUAAAAGCGCUUGUCUCUAUGCCCGAUGACCUGAGUUCAGUCCUGGGAACUCCCAUGGAAAGAGAAAAAACGUCACCCUCACACACCCUCUUCACCCCUCUCCUAAACCCAACAGUGGAGAGAACCACUGUGCUGUCUCAGCUCCUUGACAUGCAGUUUAUCCCCUUGUCCCGAGACUCAUGCUGGACAGAGGAGAGCAAUGGUUUUUGUCACAAGUGUUAGAUUCAAACUACAAAUUGAAGUUCAUGAAGAUUACUCCUCCCCCUGAAACCAGCAAGUCUGCCUUGUCGUUCCUCCUGAAGAGAGUUUUAUCAUCCCUGAACCAUUCAUUUCCUUCUAAAAUUAAAAAAAAAGGACAAAAUACUUGGGAUGGGCACAGAGACAUAGCUGAUGCCCGUGGACCUCUGUGGAGCCCAUGAUGUCCCACUUCUCCCUCAGCACCAUGGUCCUCAAAGUCCCACCUCAUACACCAUUCCCAGAAGCUGCUUAACGCUUUCACUCAGCUCCUCCUUUAAAGCUAACAGUGGAGAGAGAGACCUCUAAGGAAGUGAGUUCAUUUGGAAAUGACCAGAGUAUAGGAACUUGUGUAUUGCAGGGGAUCGGGCCUUGUGUAGGCACAUGAGUACUUAGGGGAUCAUGGUCGGUCAUGUGUGGAGACAGGAAGGUAGGCAGCUGCCCAGGUAAAGGGGGGGGGGGGGAGCUUAUGUAAGUUGUUUUGAAUUAUCACUGGCCACAAAGAUCAGUAACAGGGGAGGCCUUGGUGCAAGGUUGCCUGGGUUGCUAGGCAGCUGUCCUCACAGAGAGGUUGCACUGGCCUUUCAGCAAGGCCGUGGACUUGCGAGACUGUUAGUGGGUUUUGUUACGCUGUGAAUGUGGUAGGAUCGUUCCUCAUGGCCUCGUGGCCUCUCGUGGAUUUGGGUUUCUCACGGGAGACCGACAGUGACGGACACUGCUUUUCCUUCUCUUAAAAGGUGGUGCGCAUUUGCUGUGCUCUCACUGCAGCUGACUGCUGUGUGCACAUGUGUGGGUGUCAGUCCUCAGGGGCCAGGUCAGGACUGAGUGUUUUCAACUCUGCCUUGGGCUAGAGAUGUAGUUAAGUGAAGAGCACUUGCCUAGCCUUUGCAAACCCUGGCUUGAUUCCCCUCACCCCCCAAACAUACACACUCUCUCUCUCACAAACACACACAUACACACACACAUAUACACAGACACAUAUAUGCCCAGCUAUCAUGUUUUUGUUUUGUUUUUAAAGACAGGUUCUCAGUGUGUUCUCCCUGGAUGGCCUGAAGCUCUAUGUAGACAGGGAUGGCGUCAAAUUCAUAUAACCUGCCUCUGCCUUUCCAUUGCUGAGCUAAAAGGCCACAAAGCUACCUUAAAACAACAACAACAACAACAACAACAACAACAACAACAACACCCCAGCAUUACUGCUUGGCAAACGGGAUGAUCCCUGUCUGUUGGUUACAGGUGUUACUCUCACUUCCCUGAACCUGCUAAUGUCUCUAGGUUGUCACAGUGACAUGCUAAAUGCUGAACAGUCGUGCAGCCCCACUUAGUGUGUAUUUCAACCAUGCCAGCUCUUAGCUCAGUGCUUACAGUUUAUUGGGUGUUGGGAUAAAGUACUCAGGGAGAGCAGGAGGGAAUUCGUCUGCUCUAGCGACAACCAUGAGCCUCAGUGAUAGAUGGGGUCAGCAGGGUCCAGAAUGGUGUGGGCAAGCAAGGCUGUGCGCAGGAAAGGCAGAGGCAGAGGCCUUUAGUGCAGAAGUAGCCUUGGUGUUUGAUGAAAGAGCAGGAAAGUCCAACCCAUGUCCUCUAAUUUUGAGUCUUCAAUGAAGUCUUUAACACGUUAGUUGUGCAUUUCGGGGACUUCAGCUAAGGGAAGGGCACUCUUAUCAGCACACUGCCUUUGCCUAAGAAUGGUACCAGGGACUUUGGCCGAGUUGUAAUCUUUUGUUCUAUUACCAGUUGCUUAUACUAAAGUCCUUUUUCCUCUUACACUUGGCACGGGCUUGGGAGAGGGAAAGUUUUGUGUGUGGUUUAGAAACUGGCUUUGCAGCUGGGCAUGCAAUUAGUGGAAGAGCUUGUUAGCAUUCAGGAGACCUUGGGCUCCAUCCAAUGAAAUAGAAACAGCC
rnacentral:lncRNA from 1 species